AGAAGAUCUGCAGCAUUUAACUGAGCAACAGUCUGGGCCAGAGAAUGGAGGAAGUUUUGAUACCAUGAAGGUCUCUAAAUUUGUACAUGUCCAUAGGUAAUGUUCAUUUCUGUCCUGUAAGCUGGCACACUCUUCACUCCCCUGAUGUGGACUCAGGGCUGAUCAGCUCAGCUGAAGGCACUGCCUGGGAGGUAACUGCUGUUACCUGGGAUCAGGAUGCACCACAGGAAAAGCAUUAAAUUUCCCUUCCCUCCCCUCCUGCAAGGACAGAAGCAACAAGGUGCAACCUCUUUCUUAAGCCAUCUGAUUUUUCUCCAUGGACUUUGGUGUAAGAAGGACUGUCUCGUCCUGAACUGUCUUUACUUCUUUAAAGAGAAAGACUUGGUCAUUUUCCAGAGAUGGGGAAAUGGGAUACUUCCAGUUAUCUUUGGUUUGGGAACACCUGGAGAACACCCCAUUUGUGAUCAGCUCCCCAGUGAGUAUUACCCAUCCACGGAACAGCCCCAGGUACGCAGAAGGUCAGACAAGAAGGUGUCCUCGUCCCACCUGGCCUCAGCCUAUGAAUGAUAGAAGGCUUUU
rnacentral:lncRNA from 1 species